rnacentral:lncRNA from 1 species
UUUACACCCAAUUUGUUUACAAAUAAAUCGAAAAAAAAAGACGUAACAAAAAAAAAAAAAAAAAAAAAAUGUCUUUGAUUCUUAGUACAGAUAAUAUAAUUCAAAUAAAAUGCUCUUAUCUUAUAGAAAAAUAUCAAAGGAAGCUAAAAAACUUGAAACAGUUCAAAAAUGUAAAAAAUAAACAUAAAAAUUAUGGCCUUAACAAAUAUUAACAAAUAUUAUAAUAACUUUAAACAACGUUCAUACUAAUUUUUGUAGGAACUAAAACAAUCACUCGAAAAAAAAAAAAAAAGCUUAUUACAUUGAAAAAUAUAUGUUUAAUAAAGAAAAAGAACAGCUAUACGAUGAAUUUCGAAAAAGAAAUGAGGCGUUCGAAUUCGAGCGUUUAAAAAAAACUAAAGAAUUGUAUAAUACGUACUUUGCAGAUAUUUUUUUAUAUGAGCAAGAAUAUUAUCAAUGCAUUUAUAAAGUGUUUAAAAGCUUGUUGUUAAAGCGAGAAGAAAUUCAAGAAAAGGAAAAACAUGUCAUUAAAUUAUAUGACUGUGCACAUAUGAUACUUUCUGAUUGCAACCUUAAUAAAAUAGGAGAACUAAAAGGAACUGCAAUAAGUAAUAAUAAUACCAAUUAUAAUAUUUAUAAAGAAGAGGUAAGAAAUAACAAUGGUCAUAAUAGUAACAAAGACAAGAAAUCAUACCAUAAUAGUUUUUAUGAAGUAAAUGUAAAUGAUAUUUAUAAAAAUAAUAUAUAUAAUGAAUUUAAUACUAUAACAGGUGGUAUGUAUGAGCAGAAAAUAAAUGAACA